UCCCCCGAUGAACCGUUGAAUCAUGUUCUCGUGCUCUCUUUCGGGAGGGCUGAACGAAGGUGGGCUGCUUAAUUGUAGUCUGCCGAUGUAUUUUUCAAACCCAUUUACCUAAUACUGAUCUAUACUCCAAAAACGAAAGUUUAUGGUUUUAAUCUAUAACAACUUUCAGCAGUGGAUGUCUAGGCUCGCACAUCGAUGAAGAACGCUGCGAACUGCGAUACGUAAUGCGAAUUGCAGAAUUCAGUGAGUCAUCGAAAUUUUGAACGCACAUUGCACUUUCGGGUUAUGCCUGGAAGUAUGCCUGUAUCAGUGUCCGUACAUCAAACUUGCCUUUCUUUUUCUGUGUAGUCAGGGAGAGAGAUGGCAGAAUGUGAGGUGUCUCGCUGGCUCCCUUUUCGGAGGAGAAGACGCGAGUCCCUUUAAAUGUACGUUCGCUCUUUCUUGUGUCUAAGAUGAAGUGUGAUUCUCGAAUCGCGGUGAUCUGUUUGGAUCGCUUUGCGCAUUUGGGCGACUUCGGUUAGGACAUUAAAGGAAGCAACCUCUAUUGGCGGUAUGUUAGGCUUCGGCCCGACGUUGCAGCUGACAGAGUGUGGUUUUCUGUUCUUUCCUUGAGGUGUACCUGAAUUGUGUGAGGCAAUGGUCUGGGCAAAUGGUUGCUGUGUAGUAGGGUUUUGCUGCUCUUGGACGCCCUGUUUUCGGAUAGGGUAAAGGACGCCACCCCCACUUUGGGACUGUUUGCAAUUUAUUGUGAACACUUUCUAAGUGGACUGAUAUCAGUGGGGGGUGCGUACACCUCCCCGCACAUUUUUUCGCGGAGCGAGUGAAAAAGGGCGCGGGCCCCCUCCCGGAGGAGUGAAAGAAAGAGAGGCGGGCUUAAUUUAAUCCGCGCGCUAUUUUUCACACCUACCCAAAACAGAACGUACGCCCAACAGAAAGAUUUGGUGUGUAUAUAUACACUCUACACGAAGUCAGGGUCGCCCCUCCCGAACCUGCACUCGGAGCCAUUGCGAGCGAAUCUGGAUCAUUAGGCACUCGCUCUCUCGUUAUUCGGAAGUCCUGUAUCAUGGGCAUCAC
rnacentral:rRNA from 1 species